rnacentral:tRNA from 1 species
CCCAGGGUAGCCUAUAGCGGACAUGGUAUCUGCCCGGUAAGCGGAACACUGUGAGUUCGAUUCCCAUCCCUGGAU